GAGUUUGAUCAUGGCUCAGAACGUACGCUGGCGGCACGCCUAACACAUGCAAGUCGAACGAAGUAGCAAUACUUAGUGGCAGACGGGUGAGUAACAUGUAGGUAUCUGCCCUUUGGCCUGGAAUAACACGAGGAAACUUGUGCUAAUACCGGAUAAGUCCUUACGGAGAAAGCUUUAUGCACCAUUGGAUGAGCCUGCACUUGAUUAGUUUGUUGGUGGGGUAAUGGCCUACCAAGACUGUGAUCAAUAGCUGAUUUGAGAGGAUGAUCAGCCACAUUGGGACUGAGACACGGCCCAAACUCCUACGGGAGGCAGCAGUGGGGAAUCUUGCACAAUGGAGGAAACUCUGAUGCAGCGAUGCCGCGUGAGUGAAGAAGGCCCUUGGGUUGUAAAGCUCUUUCGUCGGGGAAGAAAAUGACUGUACCCGAAUAAGAAGGUCCGGCUAACUUCGUGCCAGCAGCCGCGGUAAUACGAAGGGACCUAGCGUAGUUCGGAAUUACUGGGCUUAAAGAGUUCGUAGGUGGUUGAAAAAGUUGGUGGUGAAAUCCCAGAGCUUAACUCUGGAACUGCCAUCAAAACUUUUCAGCUAGAGUUUGAUAGAGGAAAGCAGAAUUUCUAGUGUAGAGGUGAAAUUCGUAGAUAUUAGAAAGAAUACCGAUUGCGAAGGCAGCUUUCUGGAUCAAUACUGACGCUGAG
rnacentral:rRNA from 1 species